AAAAGGAAGCAAAGUUUUCGGAGGCGUGAAAAGGUGGUGGUGGUAGCAGCUCGAGACGGAGCUGGCAGGGUGCGUUUACGCAUCCGAGGGCGGGGUUAGGUGUGAGUGUGGUCCACCAUAUUGAUCUGUCUUGUGAUGUGCACUGUUUG
ensembl:ncRNA C05G5.9 ncRNA